rnacentral:rRNA from 1 species
UCGAGAAUCUUCGGCAAUGGGCGCAAGCCUGACCGAGCGACGCCGCGUGCGGGAUGAAGGCCUUCGGGUUGUAAUCCGCUGUCGUAGGGGAAGAAAUGCUGGUGGGUACUCCCAUCAGUUUGACUGAUCCUAGGAGGAAGUGCAGGCUAACCUCGUGCCAGCAGCCGCGGUAAUACGAGGUGCACAAACGUUAUUCGGAUUUACUGGGCUUAAAGCGUGCGUAGGCGGCCUGGCAAGUUGGGUGUGAAAUCCCUCGGCUCAACCGAGGAAUCGCGCCUAAAACUGCUGGGCUAGAGUGAGACAGAGGUGAGCGGAACUGAUGGUGGAGCGGUGAAAUGCGUUGAUAUCAUCAGGAACACCGGUGGCGAAGGCGGCUCACUGGGUCUCUACUGACGCUGAGGCACGAAAGCUAGGGGAGCGAAACGGGAUUAGAUACCCCGGUAGUCCUAGCCUUAAACGAUGAGCACUAGGUCGGAGAUCUCC